CUCGCUCGCCCACGCGAAUCUGCUCACGUGUCCGCCAUCCAGUACUCCAUCAGGAGGUGGAGACUGGCGACACAUUGCUGCCACUCCUCUCCUUCAGUCGUGAGUGCCUGCGCGUGUGCGUGGUGUAUGCACUUCAUCUGAGUCUCCGCACUGGCGCCCUCCUUCUGGAAAACGAAGUGAAGAAGCACACGAGUCUGCCGCCUUGCCGCUCCGUCUGCACGUCGUCGCAUCUCGCGCCUUUUCCUUGUGCCGAUCUCGCGUUACGCCGUGAGCAGCGGCGUGGAAGGGGUGAAGGCCAGGCAGAGAGUGUCCGUGCAGUGGGCGGGCACUCACCUUCCCGUUUCCACCUGGAGGCGCGCACACGGCCACAAUGAACAUCGGUGACUCGGGCAACAUCUUUGUGGAGAAGGCGCACCCCGCCUACACCCAUGUCAUCGACUUUCUCAUUUCCUGCUGCGAGCCAGUCAGCAGGACCCAGUACAUGGAACAGUACCGCAUGGACAGCUCCUCCUUGUCCGCGGCCACCGCCGAGGGCACGUACUCGCUUGCCAUGAUUGAGAGUGUUCUCCGACACUUCCGGCUGAACGCGGCUCAGGAGCUGCCUGUUGACCUUGAGCGCUGCGCAGCACUGGAGAGGCUGGCGGCCGCGCUGGACGAGUCGAAUGGGAGCGCGGAGGUAGAUGGAUUUCGGACUUCUCAGGAGGCGUUGGCGACUAAAACCGCGUCUUCGUCGUUUGCUGCUCGCAUACCACUGCCGCGGUGCCUCUCCGACGUCGAUCUGACAGGCACCAUUCUGGCCUCGCUGAACCGCACAGGCGCCGACGACGUCGCAUCACCCGCUGUCUCCGCCCCCCACGUGAGCAACGACAGCUGGAAGACUCUUGUAAAACGGGAAAAGGUGGAAGAGGAGGCGGUAGGCGACCGUUUGUCCGCGGGCGACGCGGCUGCCUCGGCCUUGGAAACAGUCUCGUCUCGCGCCGCAGCGCCUUCCGGCAGCCCGACUAGCCGUCUCUUGCAGCUCUUCCGUCCCUUGUUGCCGACGCCGGCAUCUGCAGCAGCGCCUAUACACUCGCCCACCGCGGGCUCUCCGCUUGAACAAGGGACGCCAAUCGCAGCACGACCGCUCAUCUCCCUUGCAGUUGUGCGGCCUGCUGACGUCCAUCGACCGCUUCCAGAGUCGUUGGCGCAGAUGCUGAAGGAGGAGGAACACGCUUCUCGCGUGCAGAUCGUGCUGCAGCCGCGCCUGCGGCGCUUCCACCAGUUCGAGGCGAGCCGUGGUGCCUCCUUUGCCUCAACCACCGCCACGUCCAGGGCGACAGUAUGGAAGGAGCGAAACGGCGCUGCCACCGGUGCGCUUGCCGACCGAGACGAUCAGCAGCUGCUCUACUUUGUUCAGUCGCGUCAGCGGGCGCACUUGGAACACGUACUACCGGCCCUGAAGGAGUUCCUGGAGCCGGUGGUGAUCUGCGGCGCUGAGCGCUGGAUCUUAUCUGACGUUGAUCGGAGCCCGCUGGGAAAUACAAAGGACAUCGGCGAUGCUGAACGGCUGGCGCGGGACGCCGGGCGGCCUGCCGUGCUGCGCUUGCUCUACGAAUCCCCGCGUGCCGGCACCCGGCAUGAGAAGGCGGCAGCGACGCCAAGUGCCAGCCGCUUUUUGUACAAGUGCCAGGUGCGUGACGGAAAGCUACGAGAGGUGAAGGAGUGCCUCUUUUCAAAGUUUGACAUCCGCGCCGACUGCUACUACGACUACAUGCAGGACCGCACCCUGCAUGUGCCGAACCUGAACCUCGCAAGCCACGUUCGUCUGCGGCCCUACCAGGUGGCAUCGCUCGAGAGGUUCUGCCGAGGACGCAAGGCGCACCAAGGCGUCAUCGUCCUCCCGUGCGGGGCUGGCAAGACGCUAACUGGCAUUGGUGCUGCCGCCACCAUGCAAACUACCACUAUCGUGAUGUGCAUCAACAACAUGUCUGUUUUCCAGUGGCAGCGCGAGUUUUUGCGUUGGACGGACCUGGCUGAGGAUGAGGUGACGGUGUGCACAGCAAAGGUGAAGCAGCGACCGGGCAAGGUUUUCAUCACCACCUACAGCAUGGUCGUCGCAAAGCGAGGUAGCACGGACGGCGCUGCUGCGGAAGAGUCCCGGGCGAUCCUACAGGCCAUGACUGCGCAGCCGUGGGGUCUGCUGCUUCUGGACGAGGUGCACACCGCCCUCGCGCACCACUUCCAGGAUGUGCUGAACACAAUCAAGUACAAGUGCGUGCUGGGGCUCAGCGCAACGCUGCUGCGGGAGGACGACAAAAUCGGCGACCUGCGUCACCUUGUGGGGCCAAAGCUGUAUGAAGCUAACUGGCUCGAUCUGACUUGCGCCGGCUUCCUGGCGAACGUCGAGUGCGCCGAGGUGCAGUGCCCGAUGCCGCCCCUGUUCCUGCAAGAGUACCACGAUAUUCAGAGCACCCGUGCCCUUCUCGGCGCACACGCACGCCUCAACCAUCGUGGCGGCCGCCGCGGCAACGGAAAGCGUUGCCGCGAGAGUGUCUUUCAGGACGACGAGGACGCCGGGGAGGACGGGGACAGCGAUGGGGAGGACAACGGCGCCCGUGGAGGGAGGGGCAGAGGGCAUGACGCGUACGGCUCCCUUACCUCGCGCUCUCUGCGCCUUGCUUCCUGCAACCCGUACAAGCUGUGGUGUACGCAGGCGCUUCUGGCCUUUCAUCAGCAGCGCUCUCCGCCCGACAAGGUGAUUAUAUUUUGCGACUACCUCGCUGACGUGCGCUUCUUUGCGCAUCACCUCCACCUGCCUUUCAUGGAUCGGCGGACGAGCGAGGCAGAGCGGACAAACCUGUUGCAGUACUUCCAGCACUCCGAUAGCGUGAACGCCAUCGUCUUGACACGUGUCGGUGAUGUCGCGCUGGACCUGCCCUGCGCAUCUGUCGUGAUCCAGGUCUCUGGCCUCGGGGCGUCGCGUCGGCAGGAGGCGCAACGCCUUGGCCGCAUCCUGCGCCCCAAGCCGCCAUCCCUCGACAACACAUGCGCCUACUUCUACACUCUUGUCUCGCAGGAUACGGCGGACGUCAGCACAAGCUACAAACGGCAGAGCUGGCUGCGCGAUCAGGGCUUCGCCUACCGCAUCUUGCACUGUGACCGCGUUCUGAGCGAGUUCGCGCGCGUGGGCGGGCAGCCCUGCUGUGUGGGGCCACCCCAGUGGUGGUAUCAGACGCACAACACCGCUUCCGCUACACCGUCCUCGGAAACGGCAGCGGUGGCGGAUGCUGGCGUGGUGCACUACGAUGGCCUCUACUGGGCUCCGUUUUCUGUUGAUGCAGCAGCCCUCAUCGAGGCGGCGUUUCAGCACGGACGAGUGACUUGUACCUUGCGUGGCGGCGAGUUGGGCAGAGGCACCCCCCGGCCCUCGUCCGAGGAGCUCGGGCGAUACCCUCUGCUCAGCUCCGAGUCAUGGAAGGUCACCUUCAGCAGCGUGGAUGCGCCGCGGACCUUUGGCACUGUGCUCAUUGGCGAAGGUGCGCCGUCUUCUUCGCUGCGCGAGCGCCGCGUGCGUCGUGGCUGCCUUGACCGCAGCCAUCGGUGCAUCCCUGCGACGGCUGAUCAGGAAAGUCACUGCAUCAGCUUCGUCCGAAACACUGUGUUGCGUGCACGAGAUACGCGUGGCAGCGACGCCGUGACGGAGGCCGAGUAGACGGCUGCCUGCUGGCGCUGCUGGUGCUGCUGCCACCGUUGUGGUGGUAGCUGUCGGCGUGAAUGGGCGCCCUUCUGAGUAUGCAUGGGGGCUGUGCCGCGCAGCUCAUCUCCCCUUUUCCGCAUACGCAAGUCUCUCCGUGAGUGCGCGUGCUGUCAAACGGCGUUCGCAGCUCAAAAAAGCGCGCUUCGACGGGGCACAGCAGCACCCCUCCCACCCACGUCUGACUCCCGGCUGCCACCUCCACUCACGUGUCUGCGAAUGGACACGUGAGUGGAUAAACGAGGCGUGCGCAG
rnacentral:misc_RNA from 1 species